rnacentral:rRNA from 1 species
UACGUAGGUGGCAAGCGUUGUCCGGAUUUACUGGGCGUAAAGAGCGCGCAGGCGGUCGUCCAAGUCGCGUGUGAAAGCCCCCCGGCUCAACUGGGCGGGGUCAGCGGAUACGGUCUCACUUGAGCCAGCUAGGGGUCGCCGGAACAAGUGGUGGAGCGGUGAAAUGCGUAGAUAUCACUUGGAACGCCAAUGGUGAAAACAGGCGACUGGGGGCUGUGCUGACGCUGAGACACGAAAGCCAGGGGGAGCGAACGGGG